AUUGAACGCUGGCGGCAGGCCUAACACAUGCAAGUCGGGCGAGAGGCGGACGGGUGGGUAAUGUAUGGGGAUCUGCCUGAUGGAGGGGGAUAACUACUGGAAACGGUAGCUAAUACAGCAUACCAUCAGAGGAACACAUAUGGGAUGGGCUAGUAGGUGAGGUAACGGCUCACUUGGGCGACGAUCCCUAGCUGGUCUGAGAGGAUGAUCAGCCAAACUGGGACUGAGACACGGCCCAGACUCCUACGGGAGGCAGCAGUGGGGAAUAUUGCACAAUGGGCGAAAGCCUGAUGCAGCCAUGCCGCGUGUAUGAAGAAGGCCUUCGGGUUGUAAAGUACUUUCAGUCGGGAGGCGUUACCGACAGAAGAAGCACCGACUAACUCCGUGCCAGCAGCCGCGGUAAUAC
rnacentral:rRNA from 1 species